rnacentral:rRNA from 1 species
UACGAAGGGGGCUAGCGUUGUUCGGAAUUACUGGGCGUAAAGGGCGCGUAGGCGGCCUCGUCCGUCCGGCGUGAAAUGCCUGGGCUCAACCUAGGAAUUGCGCUCGAUACAGCGAGGCUAGAGUGUGGGAGAGGUUGGUGGAAUUCCCAGUGUAGAGGUGAAAUUCGUAGAUAUUGGGAAGAACACCGGUGGCGAAGGCGGCCAACUGGACCACAACUGACGCUGAGGCGCGAAAGCGUGGGGAGCGAACCGG